rnacentral:rRNA from 1 species
GACGAACGCUGGCGGCGUGCUCAAUACAUGCCAGUCGAACGGAAAGGCCCUGCUUUUGUGGGGUGCUCGAGUGGCGACCGGGUUCGUAACACGUGAGUAACCUGCCCUUUACUUUGGGAUAACUUCAGGAAACUGGGGCUAAUACCGGAUAGGAGCUCCUGCUGCAUGGUGGGGGUUGGCAAGUGUCGGCGGUUGGGGAUGGACUCGCGGCUUAUCAGCUUGUUGGUGGGGUAGUGGCUUCCCAAGGCUUGGACGGGUAGCCGGCCUGAGAGGGUGACCGGUCACAUUGGGACUGAGAUACGGCCCAGACUGCUACGGGAGGGAGAGGUGGGGAAUAGGACACAGUGGGCGGAAGCCUGAUGCAGCAACGCCGCGUGCGGGAUGACGGCCUUCGGGUUGUAAACCGCGUUCGCCUGUGACGAAGCGGGAGGGACGGUAAUGUGUAAAGAAGCACCGGCUAACUACGUG